CCUCUCUCCAUCUCUCCAUAGGCUCCUCACUCCUAGCAUCAUAUUUUCCUCCGUCUUUUCCCUGAGUCAUUGUGUUAACACCGGCGGUCUCCUGUUUGGGUUUCGACGGCUCUCUGGAUCUUGUCAGGUCCCUCUGAUGAAAAUAUUCGACGACAUUUCAAAAUGACUGAAGUGGCUCCAAGCUGCACUGAGAUGACAGCGCUGGCCCCUCCUCCUGCACCGCUGAUCACCAGCAGGAAUGCAUCUCCUGCUCGAUCACCAUCCAGUCGCAACAGCCUUCCAGAUCAGUUAAAGAAGGAAAGGAAGGACAGAAGGAACAAAGAC